GACGAGGUGGCUGAGUGGUUACAGCGAUGGACCACUAAUCCUUUGUACUCUGCGCGUGUAGGUUUGAGUCCUGUCCUCGUCA